UAAUCCCUCUAGACCCGAAACC
rnacentral:snRNA from 1 species